rnacentral:rRNA from 1 species
UACGGGGGGGGCAAGCGUUGUUCGGAAUUACUGGGCGUAAAGGGCUCGUAGGUGGCCAACUAAGUCAGACGUGAAAUCCCUCGGCUUAACCGGGGAACUGCGUCUGAUACUGGAUGGCUUGGAUUUGGGAGAGGGAUGCGGAAUUCCAGGUGUAGCGGUGAAAUGCGUAGAUAUCGGAAGGAACACCUGUGGCGAAAGCGGCUCACUGGACCAUAACUGACGCUGAUGCACGAAAGCUAGGGGAGCAAACAGG